rnacentral:rRNA from 1 species
UUCGGCCGGACGAGACACAGGUGCUGCAUGGCUGUCGUCAGCUCGUGUCGUGAGAUGUUGGGUUAAGUCCCGCUACGAGCGCAACCCUCACUUUUAGUUGCCAUCAUUAAGUUGGGCACUCUGAAAGAACUGCCAGUGAUAAGCUGGAGGAAGGUGGGGAUGACGUCAAGUCCUCAUGGCCCUUACGUGUUGGGCUACACACGUGCUACAAUGGCAUCUACAACAGGAAGCAAAACGGCAACAUUAAGCAAAUCCCGAAAAGAUGCCUCAGUUCGGAUUGCACUCUGCAACUCGAGUGCAUGAAGCUGGAAUUACUAGUAAUCGUGGAUCAGCGUGCCACGGUGAAUACGUUCCCGGGUCUUGUACACACCGCCCGUCACACCAUGGGAGUUGGUUCUACCUUAAGGCAAGGUUUUAAACCCUUGACCACGGUAUAGUCAGCGACUGGGGUGAAGUCGUAACAAGGUAGCCGUAGGGGAACCUGCGGCUGGAUUACCUCCUU